GACGAACGCUGGCGGCGUGCUUAACACAUGCAAGUCGAACGGAAAGGCCCUGCUUUUGUGGGGUGCUCGAGUGGCGAACGGGUGAGUAACACGUGAGUAACCUGCCCUUGACUUUGGGAUAACUUCAGGAACCUGGGGCUAAUACCGGAUAGGAGCUCCUGCUGCAUGGUGGGGGUUGGAAAGUUUCGGCGGUUGGGGAUGGACUCGCGGCUUAUCAGCUGGUUGGUGGGGUAGUGGCUUACCAGGGCUUUGACGGGUAGCCGGCCUGAGAGGGUGACCGGCCACAUUGGGACGGAGAUGCGGCCCAGACUCCUACGGGAGGCAGCAGUGGGGAAUAUUGCACAAUGGGCGGAAGCCGGAUGCAGCAACGCCGCGUGCGGGAUGACGGCCUUCGGGUUGUAGACCGCUUUCGCCUGUGACGAAGCGUGAGUGACGGUAAUGGGUAAAGAAGCACCGGCUAACUACGUG
rnacentral:rRNA from 1 species